GCAAGUGUGGCGGAGUGGUUUGAGUGUUGGACUAUAACUCAGGAGACCAGGGUUCGAAUCCUGGCUCAGUCU